AAGCGGGGAUACAAAUAUAAGACGAGAAGACCCCAUGGAGCUUUAAACCCAACAGCACCCGUUUAUUUUCAUCCUCACAUAAGUUAGGUUAUGCCUGUUUGGUUUUAGGUUGGGGUGACCACGGAGUAUAAAACAACCUCCAUGAAAAAAGGACCAAAAAUCCUUAUUAGAGAAAGACAUUUCUAAAAUUAAUAAAUUAAUUUUUAAUGAUCCGAUAUUCGAUCAACGAACCAAGUUACCCUGGGGAUAACAGCGCAAUCCACUUCAAGAGCUCCUAUCGACAAGUGGGUUUACGACCUCGAUGUUGGAUCAGGGUAUCCUAGUGGUGCAGCAGCUACUAACGGUUCGUUUGUUCAACGAUUAAAACCCU
rnacentral:rRNA from 1 species